GCUGUCCGAGAUCGAAGGCGUUGGCCGCUGGCUGUCCACUGAAGAUCGCACAAACUGCGAAGUCUUGGGGUCUGUCCCACGGAGAGCAAGGUAUUUGAAUGUGAACCCUGUUCUCCAGCUGGGUGGUGUGAAAGAGUCAUUACCAUAUUCCUAUCCACAGUUGCUACACAAACAUUUUUCUGGUUGCUUGCGCAAUUUCAUCCUGGAUACUCAGGUGUAUGACCUUCAGUUUCCCGCAGAGUCCCUGAACAGCUUCCCGGGCUGCACCCUGACGGAUGGGAGCUGUGAGACCAUGGGAUCUUCCUCCUG